GGGGCUGUAGCUCAGCUGGGAGAGCACCUCGUUCGCAACGAGGGGGUCGAGAGUUCGAAUCUCUUCAGCUCCA
rnacentral:tRNA from 1 species